AUUGAACGCUGGCGGCAGGCCUAACACAUGCAAGUCGAACGAGUGGCGGACGGGUGAGUAAUGUCUGGGAAACUGCCUGAUGGAGGGGGAUAACUACUGGACACGGUAGCUAAUACCGCAUACCAUCGGAUGUGCCCAGAUGGGAUUAGCUAGUAGGUGGGGUAAAGGCUCACCUAGGCGACGAUCCCUAGCUGGUCUGAGAGGAUGACCAGCCAAACUGGAACUGAGACAAGGUCCAGAAUCCUACGGGAGGCAGCAGGGGGGAAUAUUGGACAAUGGGGGGAAGCCUUAUGCAGCCAUGCCGCGGGUAUGAAGAAGGCCUUCGGGUUGUAAAGUACUUUCAGCGGGGAGGCGUUACCCGCAGAAGAAGCACCGGCUAACUCCGUGCCAGCCGCCGCGGUAAUAC
rnacentral:rRNA from 1 species